AUAUAAAAAAAAAAGUGACAAAACCAUUUCAAGAAAAAUAUUUUUCUCCGAACACCCCAAAUCCUGUUUCUUCUUUCCAAAACUUCAUAUUCCCCUUUCAAUAAAUUAAUCAAACUCCUGUAAAAAAGUGAAAUCACUAUAAAAGUAUGAGUACACAAGUGCAAGCGAUUUUCAACCGUCACUUCACUAGAGAGUAGAGAUGUUCUGGAGAAACCAACGACGUCGAAGUGCUGCCGUGUUGUUAUUGCUUUACCGCUCAGUCGUUCGUACCCACCGCUGUUAGUCUCCGUUACUCCACCGGUUUGCUUCUUGCUGACAAUCUUACGGUGAAUUACAAUCUAAUGGUCAUAAUGGGCCCAAAAGUUUUCCUUGAGGAUCCGGUGGUGGAUAAAGAGUAUAUGACACAUUGAAAAUGUCUUUAGGUAGAGAGUGGCGCUAUGGAGAUAUAAACUGAUUUGAGGAAGGCCAUCUUCCUAUUGUGCAGCACGAUUGAGCUGCCGAUACUCAGACCUCUUCCGAUAGACUGAGCAAAUUCUGAAAUAGUUUAUUUGCUGGAUACAUCACCCUGUUUCCGAACUUCUUUCUGAAAAGAAAUCUCUGAAUUGCGACAACACAAGCAACACUCAUGCUUAAACGUCCAACAACCUUGAGCCUGGACCGAGACCAGAAACAAGCAUUGCUUCAGCUGCAUGGAGGUGGCUGAGGUUUCUUUGCUUUCAUUUGGUCUGCAGCAGGACUGGGGCCAAGGGUAAGUUCAAGUUCAGGUAUUUGAUUAAUUCUUGCUGCUGCUAGUCUCUGUUUUAGCUCAGUAUACAAAGCCUGGUUCUCCUGUCUCAGCCGUUGAGCAGUCUUCCUUAGCCUGUCAUUCUCCCGCAUAAUCUGAAUAUUCUGCCAGUACAGGUCUAAAUUCUGUUUCUCCAUAAAUCAAAUGCUUGAGUUGGCCUGAAACGGAAGAACCAUCAAGAAUUAUGAAGGUAUUUGCAUGAUAUAUUUGGAAAACAUAGCCUAACAUAGUAUGUAAAAAAGAGCAGAUGAUGAAAUAGUAAGUAUAUAGAAGAUACACAGGUCGCACAGCAUUACAGAAAAUUAUACACAUAGUAAGUUUAUAGACAGGUCGCGCAACAUUACAGAAAAUUAAUAAGAAGUUAUAGAAGAUAGAGAUGAUCAAAUAGUGAUUUCCAUGGGAAACAUAAGAUAGAAUUGUAAAUGAAAAACAACAAUAAGAUUGGAUUCCAAUCUAGCCCCUGCUCUGUCUCAUGAUAUUUGAGUCAAGGAAAGCGAGAGUCCCUGGACAUUUCAGAGGGUACUCGAUACACUUUAAGAAAAUAACCAUCUCCAAAGAGGGGAAGCAUAUCAUCAUUUGAUCAAAAUAGGGGAAUGGAAUGAAGGAAAACUAGUUUUGAAAGAACACUAAAAUUUUCUCUAUAUGGCAAUUACUUACAAUAGAGAACAGACUCCAAACCUUCAGAUCAAAAGCUGUUAGGGACAACUGGUUUUGGUUGGAGUCUCUUUGCGAUACAUGCUUAUUUAUACUAUUAUGUCACUUGUACGGAUGGACAAAGAAAUACUAGAAGCAGCACACACGAGAAUGGCACGCCUUGUUCAAGAAAUGCUCCAGAAACCAACUUGCAAAGCCCCGUUUUAUUCUCCUUUAUCCUCACAUAAAAACACGUCACAUUUUUAGUUAAGAAUAAUUAGAAGGAAAGAAGAAUGUUGGUUUUUGCAUGUGGAUUUUGCUUGUUUAGUUAUGUAAAAUUUGUUAGAAAAAGCAGCAUAAAAUAUGACAUUCCUGAAGAAGCAAAUGGCCUGAGUAAAGGGAGAAAUAGCAUGGGAGACAGCAAGAAAGUGAUUUGUGAGAAUUUUGAUGUUCAUGAGAGGAACCUGAAUGUGAGUAGGAAAAUAAUAAGCGUUCAAUGACUUUUACAGAACUAACUCGUGUUUAUUAAAGUGAUUUGCCUAAUGUUUGAGUAGAUCAACAAUAAUUACAAGGAGUAGUAUUUUAAUACUAGUAUCUAGUAAACUGGCUACCUUAUGUGGGUUUUCCGGAAUUACAAGAGAAUCCCUCCAUUUAUUGAACAUCGCUGAUUAAUUCAUUACCUAUAAAAUAGAAUAAUAAAUGGUUUAAAUAAAAAGAAAGAAACAGAGAAGGAAAAUCUUGGGCAGCUGGUAAGAAUGCAAUAACUAUUUUUCUUUGCUUGUGUAUUGGAGAGUACUGGAAUUCAUUAAGUAUUAUUUUUCUGUGUUUAUUUUGGAGAGUUUGAAAAACGUCGAAGGAAAUUUUGAAAUCUGUUACGAGCUAAUUUUUGUUGAAAGUAUUUUCGAAUUACAAUGUCACAUUAUAAGAAAGGGUCUUUAGUCAUUUGUUGGUCACAUGUUAUAGAUUAACAAUAAUACCAUCUCUUCCCUGAUACAAGGCCAACUAUCAAAAAUUUUUCUUUUCAAAUUUACUAUUUGCUCUUUAUCUUUCCUGCACUGUUCAGUGAAAAAAACGUGAAAGUUCUUUUAUUAGCACUUCUUUUUUCAAGAAUUGAAAUGUUAAAGAAAGAACUAUUCAGCGAAAUUGAAAAAAUGUCCUUUAAUAGUUCAUGAUCUUUUCAGACCGUGAUAUAUAAUUACUAGUAACUAUUUUGUGACUCGGUAUAAGUUAUCAACCUUGUAACUUAUUUUCUAUGACCAAACUUGUAAUUAGAUACCAAAGAAACAAUAUUCUUACAAAGCCGCGGCAAGAACGUUGGAGAAAACUGCAUAGGUGCAUUCAAAUCCUUGAAGGCUGGCAGAUAUGAUAUAAAAUUUUCAUUCUCAUUUCUUUUGCUUUAUCUAUUUAUUUUGGAAACGAUUGAAUGUCAUUUUUAAAGAGUCAAUAGUCAGUGACUCUUUAAACCUUAGGUCAAAAUAGAAAUAAUGGAUGGGGUAUUCUUUCUUCCUUAGUUUUAUGUAAUUCCAAUUGGUAAUAAUGGUUAUAUUGUUUAUGAAGCUAACAAAUUGCAAUA